UCUCCCUUCCAAAAUAAGGUUUAAUCUCUUUAUUUGUUUCUGUGGACUAAAGGUCAGGGCCUCUCUAUGAAGGUGGCUUGCAGCUGACACUAAACCCUGUCCAUGAUCGGUUCUGCCCUUCUCUAGGUCAUAGGAGCACCCAUGACAGCACAGGAGUGGGUUCAAUAGGUGGCCAGAGCCCUCCUGCACAGCCACAAUUUUCCACAAGGGCAAAGAACACCUCUGUCACCUCAUAUAACAUUUGCUUGCUUCCUGGAGCCAUUUGCUUGUGGUAUGAAAAAAAGUUUAUGAGUCUAAAAAUUAUUUGGGGCCAUAUAUGAGAGCCAUGGGGUCCUUGAAUUUUGAAAAGACUGAGAGGAGAGAUGGGGUGAUGUUGAUGCUUUAUGAACCUCCCACCUCCUGUUGAACUGAGCAGCUUCCCUUUCAUUUAUCUUACAUAUUG
rnacentral:lncRNA from 10 species